CAACCUUCGCACCCGGUUCAUUUUACGAUGUAGCCUGGGAGCGGUGUUGGGGAUCGGCUACCAUUACAUGGUUACCGUCCCCUAAAACAAGUGGCAGUCCCAUCGUGGCCUCCCUUGCGUAGUACUAUUCUCGCAGGUGGAAAGCGGUGUAACCUCGCCAUAAAACCCCAACUUUCUCAUGG
rnacentral:misc_RNA from 1 species